UACGUAGGGCGCAAGCGUUGUCCGGAAUUAUUGGGCGUAAAGAGCUCGUAGGCGGUUUGGUAAGUCUGGUGUGAAAUCUCCACGCUCAACGUGGAGGAGCCACCCGAUACUGCCAUGACUGGAGUCCGGUAGAGGAGUGUGGAAUUCCCGGUGUAGCGGUGAAAUGCGCAGAUAUCGGGAGGAACACCCGUAGCGAAGGCGGCACUCUGGGCCGGUACUGACGCUGAGGAGCGAAAGCGUGGGGAGCAAACAGG
rnacentral:rRNA from 1 species